rnacentral:lncRNA from 1 species
UCAUAUAUGGUAUAGAUAAGAAAAAAUCUCAUAUAUAAAAUGGUAGGGCAACAACACAACUGAGCCCCCAAUGCGAGAACAGCACAUUACAGGGAAGGCAGGUCCAAAGACCAGAAAAACAACAAAUUGGGUAGCAAAAGGGACUAUUCAACAUCUAAAAAGACACGAAUUUGUGAGACUCCAAAUCCCUCCCAUAAUACUUGCCCUGUUUUCCCUUAUCUUUCAGGAUAGAAGACUCAAAUGAUGGCCACUAUUCGUGCACAUAAAAUUGAUUCUCAUCUUUACAAUAAAAUCCAAUAAUUCUGUAGACAUCCCUCUGCUGUAUAGAGAAUUGCUGCAUCAUAAAGUGGUAGAUUUCACUGUCAUUACACACAGAAAGCCAGAAGAGCAGGAUACCUCAAUGAUCAGAUGAUGGAUAUGUGCUGCAUGACUACCUUCGCAUAACCUCCAUCGUAUGCUUAACAGCAGCUUAAUAGUUAUCAGGCAAAUAUCCCUACAAAAGGUGCAUCAAAACUAGAAAUGGGAUAUGCAAGGCAGCAGAUGCUAAUUCCAUCCUUCAAAAGAGAAGUCUUCGCUACUCUAGUGUACAUGACGAUUUAUUGGCAAACAUAAAUAUGCAGCAGUAAUUGAUAAGAAAAACAAAGUGAACAUGCAGAUAUAGAAAAUUUUGAUUAUUUUCUAACCAAACAGUUAUUACAAGAACUCCAGCGCAGGGAUAUGCAACGUCUUGGCAUCUACUAAGCUAGAGUUAAAUAAGAGCGGUUGUAGACUGAGCUCAGAAAAUGACUAAUGACAUUACAGGGGCAAGCUUACCUAUCAAUGAAAGAAUAAGAUAAGAUACAUGGCAGCUUCUUGGGGAGCUAAGUUUUAGAAUCUAAGAAUUCAUUUAUAUUCAUAUAAUAAAUUGCUCAUACCCAACCUCAGAAGCCUAUUCUAUGAAGAAAAAAAAAAAGAAAAGCCAUCCCGGAAAAUUUAUAGCCUACAACAAAUUGAUUC